rnacentral:rRNA from 1 species
GAUGAACGCUGGCGGCGUGCUUAACACAUGCAAGUCGAACGGAAAGGCUCCUGCUUGCAGGGGUACUCGAGUGGCGAACGGGUGAGUAACACGUGGGUGAUCUGCCCUGCACUUCGGGAUAAGCCUGGGAAACUGGGUCUAAUACCGGAUAGGACGAUGGUUUGGAUGCCAUUGUGGAAAGUUUUUUCGGUGUGGGAUGAGCUCGCGGCCUAUCAGCUUGUUGGUGGGGUAAUGGCCUACCAAGGCGUCGACGGGUAGCCGGCCUGAGAGGGUGUACGGCCACAUUGGGACUAAGAUACGGCCCAGACUCCUACGGGAGGCAGCAGUGGGGAAUAUUGCACAAUGGGGGCAAGCCUGAUGCAGCGACGCCGCGUGGGGGAUGACGGCCUUCGGGUUGUAAACACCUUUCGCUAGGGACGAAGCGCAAGUGACGGUACCUGGAGAAGAAGCACCGGCUAACUACGUG